CCUACGGGAGGCAGCAGUCGGGAAUAUUGCGCAAUGGAGGAAACUCUGACGCAGUGACGCCGCGUGCAGGAAGACGGCCUUCGGAUUGUAAAAUGCUUUAGAUAGGGAAGUAAAAAGACAGUAACUGGAGAAUAAGCGUCGGCUAACUCAGUGCAAGUAGCCGAGGUAAUACUGAGGGAGCAAGAGUUAUCCGGCUUUAUUGGGUGUAAAGGGUGCGUAGACGGAGAAGCAAGUUACUUGUGAAAUCCCUCGGCUGAACUGAAGAACUGCAACUAAAACUACUUCCCUUGAGUACUGGUGAGGAAAGUGGAAUUCCUAGUGUAGCGGUGAAAUGCGUAGAUAUUAGGAAGAACACCGAUGGCGAAGGCGACUUUCUGGACUGUAACUGACGUUGAGGCACGAAAGUGUGGGGAGCAAACAGGAUUAGAUACCCUUGUAGUC
rnacentral:rRNA from 1 species